rnacentral:misc_RNA from 1 species
GGAGAGCACAAUGCAGGCAAGCACACUGUUCUAUUUUCCCUAUUUAGGUUAAGUGGAUUUUCGAUUAAUUGUGUCCUAUUUGGAGACUUUGUGGGUCAAAUUAAGCUUAUACGUAGAUUACGUCUAUGUAGGGAACCUUGUCAUGAAUAUUGUUUUUGUAAAUUAAUUAGCCAGUUCAUGUUUGCUGUAUAUUGGAUAAACAUGUUAGAACCACAUUUUGUUUCAAAAACCCGAAUGAAGAUACAGAAUGGAACGAUAUUCUGCGUAGCAAAGGAAUAAUACCGCCAAAGGAGAAAGAGCUUACAGAAGAUGACGUCGUCAAUAUUGUUGAAUCGACUAUCAAAGAGAAGCAAUCAAACGGCAAACAGCUUGAGGAUUGUUCGCUGGACGAGCUUGAUGAGCUGGAAGAUGAAGAAGACGAGAGGGUGCUGCUGGAGUUGCGAGAGAGGAGGUUAGCCGAACUGCGCGCCGAGGCAGCCAAGGCCAAGUACAGGGAAGUCCGCGAAAUCAGUGCCGUCGACUACGUAGAUGAAGUCAACAAAGCUGGCCAAGGAGUCUGGGUCAUCCUCCAUCUCUACAAACAGGGGAUUCCGUUGUGUGCUCUCAUCAAUCAGCAUCUGAAUGAAUUGGCUCAGAAAUUUCCAGCCACAAAAUUCUUGAAGAGUGUUUCGACAACUUGCAUCCCCAACUAUCCGGAUCGCAAUCUGCCCACUAUCUUUGUCUACUUUGAAGGAGAACUGAAGAUUCAGUUUGUUGGACCGCUGGAAUUUCGGGGACCGAAUCUCUCCGUUGAUGAUUUGGAGUGGAUGCUGGGCCAGGCGGGAGCAAUUGUGUCGCAGAUGAGCGAGGACCCUCGACCCAAGCCUCGCGACGCGCUGCUCUCGGCUCUCAACCAAAAUGACGAUUGGUGACACACACACAUACACGCGCACGAACACACCCACUCGGCCUCCGACUUCAGCUAUCCCACCUGCUUCUCGGUUUUCUGCUUUGUCUGCUGCUUUUUCUAAUAACUGAUUCGUCAGUUACUGUUCUACGUGAAAUGAAACGCGCAACAUUAUUUUGACUAUAUUUUUAUUCGAAAUUUGGCAACUUAUCAAGCUUUUACACGUAAAUAUUAUGCCAAACCCUCAAUACUAAAGCUUAUUCAAUUUGAAUUGUUUCGAUGUAUCAUAUUAUUCCAAAUUCUACAACUUCUACAUUAUUGUUUCAGUAGAAUAUGUUCUACACAUUCAAUUUUAUUCUAUAUAGGACAUUAUUUUAAUCUCCGUAAAUUUCUCAGUCGAGUUGUUAUCAUUAUUUUGUAUUUAUAUGAAUGUAACUCUAUUUAAUUUUAUUCUACAUAGAACAUUAUUUUAAUCUCCAUGAAUUUCUCAGUCGAGCUGUUAUCAUUAUUUUGUAUCUAUAAAAAUGAAACUAAUAUUUAAUCUUGAAUAGCUAUUAAUUUCAUCCCCUUAUUCGAAAAAAUAUGGACACCGUCAAUAAAAUUGAUAGAGUCUAUAGUAUAUUCUACGAAUAUUUUUGUAGUUGAAUGUUCCUUAUUAGAUAGUUUUUUACAAAUAUGAUUCAUGAAAAUUUUAUCUCUUUCCGAUAUUAAAGAUUGUUCUAACUACAAUAAGUAUUGCACAUUGAACAUUGAAUCUGAUACAGGUGCUAUGGAAAUAAUGCUUCUGUCAAUGACUGGAGCUGUGAUUGAAGUGAUGUACGGAGAACAAAGAUAACUUACUUAAUUUUUCCAUUUAUAUUGUAGAGGAAUUCUUUUUUCCUUGCAUUGUUGACCUAUUCUUGUGCUAAUUUAUUUCAUAGAUUUCUGGUUGAGCUAGAAAUAUAUUUUAUAUCUAGCAACUAGAUGAAAUUCCCAAGUGAUAAUCAAACACCAAAUAGAGUUAUAAAUUUAGGUAAAGUCCAUUUUAUCCAUUGCAUUUUUUUAUUAUUAGAAAUUCAUAUUCGUAUAAAUUUGAUAUUAGUAAAUGAAAACAUAUCAGUAUUAAAUUUGUACAUUAUAUUGACCUUAUUAAAAAAUCGACUAUUUAGUUUGAACAAAAUUGAUUAAUGAUGCUUAAUAUCUUUCAGUCGCCGAUUUAUCAAAACAUUGAUUCGAUGAACUGUUUUUUUAAAAGAUAUACAUACUUUUGAGACAUACUAAUAUUAUUAAAAUACUAUUAUAUUAUUAAAAUAGCCUUACAUGGUCAUAGACUCGCUGAUCUAGGAAUACGAAAUUGUUUUAAAAUACUAUUACAGUUAUUGUAACUAGAAUAAACCAGAAUUUCACCGAAAAUUCCGUUUGCAUAAUAAUAAUUCAUGAAUCGAAACUAAUGCUAGUUUUAGUUUAAUAACCGUGAUGCUUAAUUAGUCUACAUUAGAAUGAAGAAUAAAAUGGAUUAUUAUUAUUAUUAUUAAGCUCAGACAGACUCUGCUCUUUCAACUUCAUGUUAACCACUUUUACUAAAUUUUAUUCAUCGAUAGAAAAUAACUAUACCAUGGUAUUUUUAAAGAGCAAUAUAUAAAUGUGAUUACUUAUUAUUCAUUUAUCGAACAAUACGCGUAUAUCAGAAUACACACAUGUGUUUUUUACUAAAAUACGGUUUAUAAUAUUAUAUACUAUAAUCAUUAUACUUACCAAAAUAUAGGCUACGGUAAUUAUAUGAGAAUUAUUUAUUUCAAUAUAAUAUUGGAAUAUUUAAGUAGUUAAUCGGCUACAAUAUUACUAAUGAGUAUAUUCUUCUAGUAUUUUUGAGUCAUAAGAAAAGCUUCAAUACUGUGAGUCAUCAAAUUUAAUUAAAUAGGAGACAUAAUUUUUAUUACUAAUAAUAAAGUCAACAUGUAUUUCAUGAGAAUAUUUUCUUACAUAGGUUGAAGUAAUUUGCCAAUUCAAAAUUAGCAACUUUAUAAUAAUGAUAAGAGAUAAGCAUGAUUCACAAGAACUGAAAUUUGUAUAGCAGAUUGACUUUCUUGAAAUUUUUAGAUGCCGUGCUUUUAUAAAGUAGUAUACAUACUGUAUUUUUUAUAUUGUUACUAUGCUAUUCAAUCUCUUAUCUAGUAUGGUACCGGUAUACCUAUAUGUUUCAUAAAUUAUAUAAUAAUAUAAAUAAUUACAAAAAUAUUCUUGUCACAACUAUAUAAACAAACAUCCAUGUAGAAUAAAGCCCUGCGCUCACCAAUGAGAAUUAAUCUUUGUCAUAAAAAUCAACUUUGAAAUCAUCCUGCAGCUUACACUCAUCUCACGUCGCCGUGCCCAAGGCUUAGCGUUCCAUUCACUGCCCUAUUUGUUGUCCAACUUGUUCGACUACUAGUAGGAUCGUUUUCACCACUCACGCUCUGUCUUGUUUUUCAACUUCAGUCUAGUCGGAUGGAGAGCAAACGCUAGUUUGAUGUCGGACCUCAAGAAAUGUUACUGAUGAUCCAACAUACGUCCAGACUUCCAACCCAUUUACGGUCCGAUUUCGUAUUCAACAUUGGAUGUUGGACGACUAGCUGAACAACAAAUCGGACAGUGAAUGGCUUGCUUUAUCUCAGAAAAUAAUAUUCAACAUUUCUUCUCUCAACUUAUAUAAAUCUGAAAUUAAAAUGAUUCUUUCUACAGGUUUGUAAUAUGCUAAUUUUAGAACGGCAUUUGAUUACUCGUUAUUUUAAUAUUAGUUUGUAAUGUGUAAGUAGGUUUCUUAUUUCUGUUCUAUUAAAACUAACCAUCAAUACUGAGUAAAGAA